UUUGAUUCUGGCUCAGGAUGAACGCUAGCGGGAGGCCUAAUACAUGCAAGUCGAGCGGUAGAGGUCCUUCGGGACCUUGAGAGCGGCGCACGGGUGAGUAACGCGUACAUGACCUACCUUUAAGUUUGGGAUAGCCCUGGGAAACUGGGAUUAAUACCGGAUGUGAUACUAGAUAUAAGGAUUUAGUAUUAAAGCUGAGGCGCUUAGAGAUGGAUGUGCGUCUGAUUAGCUAGUUGGUAGGGUAACGGCCUACCAAGGCUACGAUCAGUAGGGGGCGUGAGAGCGUGGCCCCCCACACGGGUACUGAGACACGGACCCGACUCCUACGGGAGGCAGCAGUAAGGAAUAUUGGUCAAUGGACGGAAGUCUGAACCAGCCAUCCCGCGUGCAGGAUGAAGGUCCUAUGGAUUGUAAACUGCUUUUAGCAGAGACGAAACGCUUCCAUUUAUGGGAGUCUGACGGUAUCUGCAGAAUAAGCACCGGCUAACUCCGUGCCAGCAGCCGCGGUAAUACGGAGGGUGCAAGCGUUAUCCGGAAUCACUGGGUUUAAAGGGUGCGUAGGCGGAAUAUUAAGUCAGUGGUGAAAGCCUGUCGCUUAACGAUAGAACUGCCAUUGAUACUGAUAUUCUUGAAUUGGGUUGAGGUUAGCGGAAUGUGACAUGUAGCGGUGAAAUGCAUAGAUACGUCAUGGAACACCAAUUGCGAAGGCAGCUAACUGGGCCUUGAUUGACGCUGAGGCACGAAAGCGUGGGUAGCGAACAGGAUUAGAUACCCUGGUAGUCCACGCCCUAAACGAUGCUGACUCGAUGUUUGGGACUAGACCUUGAGCAUCCAAGGGAAACCGAUAAGUUAGCCACCUGGGAGUACGACCGCAAGGUUGAAACUCAAAGGAAUUGACGGGGUCCGCACAAGCGGUGAGCAUGUGGUUUAAUUCGAUGAUACGCGAGACCUUACUAGCUAGAAUGUGAGUGACCGGCACUGAAAGGUGCUUUUUCC
rnacentral:rRNA from 1 species